UUUUAAAUAUUAAAUUAGAAACUUUUCUUACUAUCUAAAUGUGUUAAAAUUAAUAAAAAUUAUUUUUUUUCGUCAUUAACUAGAAGCAGCUCAGUACCAGUGUUGUACAAAGAGCGACUGCCUUUCUGAACUGCUCAACCCAGUUACCUGGGCAUCACGAUACCCCUUAGCCUUUAUUAGAUAGGUACUCUAUAGCAAGGCUGUCCGACCAUUAAUGGAACUUAUCACCAAUUUUGCAGUUAAGACCGUUUUUGGGCACUCAUUGCUGCCUUAAAUAUCACAAUGGCAAAAAAAGAAAUAACAAUUCAAAGUCGUUGGCCACAUUAUGGCCCGCGGGCCUAAGAUUGGAUAACCUUUCUACAUGUUUAUAAAAGUGAGGUGGAAGAAAAUACCUGAAAAACAAAUAAGCGAUAAAACACAGGAGGCCCGUAAGUUAACAUAAAUUCUUAUCAUAAAUCUUAAUGUAACAUCAGACAGACGUGUCAAGCUAGUUCUUAGCACUAUCUUAAGUAAACGAUUUAUUUGAAAAUCUCGUGAUAUCUACUUUAGGCACUUGAUUCAUACUGUACUUAAGGUAUACCGUAUACUAAUAACAAAGGGGAGCUCAUUAGGGCCGAAGCCUGUGGAACAAGCGGGAUGGUUCGAAAGGGAUACCGUAGCCCCGAAACACAAAGGGCAAAAGAAACAUGCAUGGGUGUGUUUUAGGCAGGUCUGACACUCCCUUUCGCUCAAUCCAAAGCGGUAGCAUUCAUUUCAUGAUUUCCCACCCGGAACAGGUAAAAAGGUUUGCUUCAGGGCCCGUAGACAAGUUACAUUACUCCAACUUUUCAAAAAGAUAUGUAAUUCCUAUAUGGAUUUCAUGUUUACUAUACUAAUUCGAUGUAACUUUGCAAAAGCCUAACGGUUUCAAAGAAUAGAACCAAGCUGUUGCUUUGAGUUUUUUACAUCAAUAAUACAUUUGUAAUUACCUAAACACCUGACGCUACUUAGUGAAAACCCAUUCAAAGUUAAUAGCGUAAUUUGUACGCAAUAGGACAUCAGCGAAUAAUAUAAACAAACAAAUCGUGACACAGAUGGUCUUGAAACUGAAGACGUUUACGAUGUUACUGAUGAUGUAAGCAAACAAGAAGGUUUAUAGAUCUUUUAGCUAGAACAUUAUGAAGGUUCGUUUUUACUUUUCAAAACUGUAGUAGGUAGGUAUACCUUUUGUAGCCUAUUCACCCACAAUUAAUAUAAUUCAAUUUAAAGGGUAGAAUGUAUUGACAGCCAAGUGGUAUCGGUCACGAUUCGAUCCCCGCAUAGGACAAAUAUUUGUGUGAUCCACAAAUGCUUGACUAGGUGUCUUGUGCAAGUGAAUUGAUUUUUUUAUGAAUUCGCCGCGACGCAAGGAUUAAAUUACUUAGUAUUUUUUUUUAAAUUGGUGGUUGAGCCACACGCUUAACUCCUAUAAACCAUGUCAUCGAGAUACAAUAUAUUUUUAUGUGGAUCUAAGUCGUGUAAUUCAAUUUGUUUUGCAAAAACGUAUAAUUACAGACUAUUCUUAUUAUAAUGAUGUUCAACCAGUUAUCGUAUAACUCUAUUGUCAUUAACAGUCAUCAUAAUGACUCUAGCCAAUCUUGCCACAAUAAACUAUAUUAGCAAAUAUACAAACCUGCUACCUCAUGUUCGAAUCCGGUUAGUAAGCCAAUGGGCCACCGUGACUAAUACGAAAAUGAUUAAGUUUAGUUACACACAAAAAACUUGUGUCCAAUAACGUAACAAAUUAACACAAUUCCUAUAUCAAGUGUGUUAUUGUCUCGUUUGAAUCUACAGGGGGUUUCUAAAAUGUUUUUCUUUAGUCGUGCCGGGCCAGUUAAUAACAUAAUCUUAGGCAAAAGACUAUACCAUAAUAGUAACUUGACAUAUAACGAUAAGGUUGGUUAACAAACAAAUUAGCUCUCAUUUAUUUGUUUGUUUAAACGCGCUAAUCUUAGGAUCUAUUGGUCCGAAUCGAAGAAUUCUGUCUUAUGUUACAUUAAAAAAAAUACACAUUUUUUUUACUUUGUCUCAAUGUUACUCAUAGGCAGACGACGUCGCGGAUGACAGUUAAAUAUCAUAAAAAAUCUUAUCUAAUCUACUUUUCUAAAAGUUUUUAUUUUGGCUUACUGGAAAACUUUAGACCUUCAUUUGUAGAGAAGGACUAAUAAUGGAACAAUACUUUUGCUUAAAUAUUUUAAAUUCCAUCAAAGUUUCCACACAAAAUUUACAUACCGUGAGAGUAAGAACAUGAAAACACCUAGACAAAAUGUUAUAUCUACGUAAUACUUUAAUAACUUAAAAGGAAUUUCUAAAUAUAAACGAUAUUUUUCUAAAUAUACAUUAUUAUACCAUAGGAGUAAUAACAAAACAUCGAGAUUAAAAACAACAUGCUGUAGAAGCUGUAAGCAUGAAUUGCAUCAAAAUCUGCGCGUGCGCAACGAGAUCUACGUUCUAUGAGUCGAGGCUCAGUAUUCGCGUGAUUGUCGGACUGUUAACACGUCUUAUUAGUGGCCUCUCUUAUAGUGUCAAACGUCGCAAAAAAAUGAGUUUGUUUUUAUUCCAUAAAUAUGGAAAAUUACACCUAGAUAAUUGAAUCAAUACAUUUUUAAUAGACUGAAAAAAUAAUAUUCACAUUGAAUGGAAAAUAGAAAAACGGUUGGUGAAAAAACAUUGCAAUUAAGAAUAUACCAGCAAAAGGACAAGGAUAUUUUUCGCAAACUCCAUAAACAUUACCCUCCUUUCACGCAAUCGGGUAAACAAUACACAGAUGUCAAGAAAUUGUAACAAUUGCUAUAAAAUUAAGUAAGUUAAAUGGUAUUUUACGAAAGUACGGUGUGAGAGAGUCUUCUAAUUAUCAUCUUCAUAUAACCGUCGUUAAGUUUUAAUAAAAUAUUUUUACGUU